rnacentral:hammerhead_ribozyme from 1 species
AUCCAGCUGACGAGUCCCAAACAGGACGAAGCGCGUGUUUUGGAU